rnacentral:rRNA from 1 species
GAUUAACGCUGGCGGCGUGCCUAACACAUGCAAGUCGAGCGGCAGCGCGUUUUACACUGAAUUCUGGAAGCUUCUAGUUGAAAGAGAAGAUUUAUUCAAGAAUUUUGUGUAAAAUGUCGGCGAGCGGCGGACGGCUGAGUAACGCGUGGGAACGUACCCCAAAGUGAGGGAUAACGCAUCGAAAGGUGUGCUAAUACCGCAUAUGGUCUUCGGAUUAAAGCCUUCGGGCGCUUUGGGAACGGCCUGCGUAAGAUUAGAUAGUUGGUGGGGUAAUGGCCUACCAAGUCGACGAUCUUUAACUGGUUUGAGAGGAUGAUCAGUCAGACUGGAACUGAGACACGGUCCAGACUCCUACGGGAGGCAGCAGUGAGGAAUCUUCCACAAUGGGCGAAAGCCUGAUGGAGCAACGCCGCGUGCAGGAUGAAGGCCUUCGGGUUGUAAACUGCUUUUAUAAGUGAGGAUUAUGACAGUAACUGAUGAAUAAGGAUCGGCUAACUACGUG